UAUAUUAUAUCGCUAGUUAAUGUUGAAAAAUUAUUAAAAAUAUAAUAUUAGAAGUGAAAUGUUAAACGUUUAAGAUGAUAUCUAGUUAUUUUAGAAAUGAAUUGAAUUCCGUUAUUUAAAUGUUAUUUUUUAAAUUUUUUAAUUAAAUAUUUUUAAAUAAUAAUUAUUUUAGGGAUAAUCUAAAAAUAAUUUUAAUAAUUUUUAUGAAUAUUUAUUUUAAUGAUAUAUUUAUAGAAGUAGAAAUUAUUAAAGAAAAUGUUAUAAUAUAAAAUAUUGAAUAAUUUUAUUUUAUUAUUAAUUUUAAAAUAAUAUAAAAUUAAUUUUAUUAAUUUAUUAAUAAAAUGAAAUAAUGAUUAAAUUAGUAAAAAAUAGUGUAAUUUAUAAAUUUGAUUUAUAAAUUAAAUUUAAAGAAUUCGACAAAUAUUUUAUUCACCUGUUUAUCAAAAACAUGUCUUAUAGAUUAAAAUUAUAAGUCGAUUCUGCCCACUGAAUGUAAUUUAAAUGGCUGCAGUAUUUUGACUGUACAAAGGUAGCAAAAUAAAUUGUUUUUUAAUUGAAAACUGGAAUGAAGGAGUUAAUGAAAUAAAAAUUGUUUCAAAUUUAGUGAUUGAAUUUAAAAUUAAUUAAAAUCUUAAAUUUUAAUAUUUAAUAUUAUAUGUUAGUUAAUGUUGAAAAAUUAUUAAAAAUAUAAUAUUAGAAGUGAAAUUUUAAUCGUUUAAGAUGAUAUCUAGUUAUUUUAGAAAUGAAUUGAAUUCA
rnacentral:rRNA from 1 species